GUUAGGAAUAUUGGACAAUGGGCGCAAGCCUGAUCCAGCCAUGCCGCGUGAGUGAUGAAGGCCUUCGGGUUGUAAAGCUCUUUAGCCGAUGAUUAUAAUGACUGUAGUCGGAAAAUAAGCCCCGGCUAACUUCGUGCCAGCAGCCGCGGUAAUACGAAGGGGGCGAGCGUUAUUCGGAAUCACUGGGCGUAAAGCGUGCGUAGGCGGUUUUGUAAGUUAGGAGUGAAAGCCCAGGGCUCAACCCUGGAAUUGCUCUUAAAACUACAAGGCUAGAAUGUCGGAGAGGAUAGCGGAAUUUCCAGUGUAGCAGUGAAAUGCGUAGAUAUUGGAAGGAACACCAGUGGCGUAAGCGGCUAUCUGGACGACUAUUGACGCUGAGGCACGAAAGCGUGGGGAUCAAACAGGAUUAGAUACCCUUGUAGUCC
rnacentral:rRNA from 1 species